CCUCAUGUGUAUAGCAGCAGCAACUAACAUUUCUCACCCACAUGCCAGGCUCUGAGCUAAGAUCUUCACAUUCAUUGGUAGCUUUUUGGGGGAAUGCUUACCAUGAAGCUUACAUAAAGCAUCUUGUAGUUACAACAGUCUAUUUUAAGCAGAAAACAACUCAACUUCAGCUGCAUGUGGGAGUUCAUUGCCACUGGACCUGCUUUACAAGAAAUGCUAAAGGGCGUUCUGCAAGUUGAAAUGAAAAGAUGCUAAAUAACAACAUGAAAACAUACGAAAGUAUAAAGCUCACUAGAAAAACCUUCCCCUGCAACACCCCAUGUGCAUUUUGGAGGCUCACUAUGCAGUCCUUAAGAAUGGAAUUAACUUCAGGACCUUCAAGCAAGUCUUUACCAGCUCAUGUUUCUUCAGCAGCUGCUCUGCAAACAUGCAUUGGACCCUUUAAGCAUUUCUCCUUUACAGUGAGCACAAUGCUAAGCUUUGUCAGCAGAUGCCAAUGGAGCAGCACUGCAGAAGAAGGCAAGUUUCUCUUCCUGAUUCUGGUGUGCUACUUUUCUUCUUCUUGCUCCAGCUGCAUCAUCCAUCAGUGGUACUAUGUAUAAGACCAUCCCACUGUGCCCUGCCCUACCACCUGCCCAGAGGCACAGUCCCUCACUGACUAUUUGGCCUGAUCCUGAGCCUGUGGCCACCUUCUCACAGCCCUGCAACACAGGCACUGUGUGCUCCAGGCCUCAUGUCCCCAGCAGUGGCCUGACUGUGCACUCAGCCACAGCCUCAGUUUGCCUGUGCUCCAAGAAAUUGCAUCCUAUUUGCCCAGCAGCUAUGGACCAGCUCUAGUCCUGGAAAAUAGCAGGCUUCUCUGACAUCUAGUGGACUGCAAACACACCUUCUCCAGCAAGGCCGGAACCCCAGCCUUAGGGAGAGAACCCUCUUUCCAAGUUGUCUUUCCUUGGGUACUCUCCCUCAAUCCUCGGAUACCCUUGAAAGUUCUCUUUACAUUGUUAUGGUUAUUCUUCUAUCACUGUCGAAUAAUGUUUUAUAUUAAACUUCUCUUGCUUUACAUUA